GAUUCAGUUAUAAUGGAUCCAAUUGGAAUUGGAAUCAGAGAACCAGAGCUACAAAAAUGACUACUGGAAGAUAUGGAUCUCACUUUGGAUAAAACAGUAAGACUGUGUCAGGAAGCACAAAUCACUCCAAACAGAAUAAAAAUAAUGGAAGGAAAACAGGACACCGCCAAUCUUGAUAGAGUGACAAGAGAGAGAAAAAACUGGCAAGCAGUAAGUCACUAGAGAACAAAAAACACAGAGAAGCCUGAAAAACAAAACGUGAGAGUUCACAAGGGACAGCUUCAAGCAUUGCACAAGAUGUGGACACAAAUACAGACCUCAACAAUGCCCGGCUUUUGUUAAGCGCUGCAAUGUUUGUAAGAAAUGCAGUUAUUUGCCAAAGUCUGCAACCAGGAUCACACAGCAGACAAGGAGGCAGAGCCUGCAUUCUGAAGCACUAAUCUAGGAAGAGAGUACAGACAGCAGCACAGAAGACAAGUUUAUCUAGGAGCUGUAUCUGAAGAGGAAGAACAGAUGAAUGGACAAUUUCCUUAGAAACUAAUGGGACUCUAUAACCUACAGAUUGGACACUCAAACUCAGGUAAAGGAUCGGGAUUUGCAGUGAGAGUACAGCACCUAGCUCAAUGGGACUCCAGUCUCACAUCACCGAAUGAAUGGAAUUCCAGUCCAUCCUGAAAUCAUUCACCCGUUGUAAGAGAGCAGCAGAUCUUGACGUCAGGCUGUGAGUCACAAAAAAUGCAGGACUGGUAAAUAAUGAAGAGGAUAGGC